rnacentral:rRNA from 1 species
AGCGGCGGAUGGGUGAGUAACACGUGGGGAACCUGCCCCUAAGUCUGGGAUACCAUUUGGAAACAGGUGCUAAUACCGGAUAAUAAAGCAGAUCGCAUGAUCAGCUUUUGAAAGGCGGCGUAAGCUGUCGCUAAGGGAUGGCCCCGCGGUGCAUUAGCUAGUUGGUAAGGUAACGGCUUACCAAGGCGACGAUGCAUAGCCGAGUUGAGAGACUGAUCGGCCACAUUGGGACUGAGACACGGCCCAAACUCCUACGGGAGGCAGCAGUAGGGAAUCUUCCACAAUGGACGCAAGUCUGAUGGAGCAACGCCGCGUGAGUGAAGAAGGUUUUCGGAUCGUAAAGCUCUGUUGUUGGUGAAGAAGGAUAGAGGUAGUAACUGGCCUUUAUUUGACGGUAAUCAACCAGAAAGUCACGGCUAACUACGUGCCAGCAGCCGCGGUAAUACGUAGGUGGCAAGCGUUGUCCGGAUUUAUUGGGCGUAAAGCGAGCGCAGGCGGAAAAAUAAGUCUAAUGUGAAGGCCCUCGGCUUAACCGAGGAACUGCAUCGGAAACUGUUUUUCUUGAGUGCAGAAGGGGAGAGUGGAACUCCAUGUGUAGCGGUGGAAUGCGUAGAUAUAUGGGAGAACACCAGUGGCGAAGGCGGCUCUCUGGUCUGCAACUGACGCUGAGGCUCGAAAGCAUGGGUAGCGAACAGGAUUAGAUACCCUGGUAGUCCAUGCCGUAAACGAUGAGUGCUAAGUGU